rnacentral:lncRNA from 1 species
UGAGAAGGCUUGAAACAUACUAGCAAUAGACGGAUCCAUGUGCAUACCUUGUACUUUAGAAGAACCCCUACCAGAAACUCCUCCCAAAGAUCCUUCAAAAUUUUUAUUUUCGUUCUCCAUAAAAAUAAAAAUAAAAUCAAACAAAAUCUAAUACCUUCUACCUCAAGAUUUCACGUCGGGUUCACCACUUGUGUCAUAUUACGUGCUUUCUUGCUCGAGAACGCGUCGGGCAUCUGGCUUUAGAAGGUAGUAUGGAGAUUUGCUAAUAUUUAAGCAGUCUAUCAGUUUUUGACUGUUGGAAUAUAAAUAAUUGUAAGAAUAUA